rnacentral:piRNA from 1 species
UAGUGAGCCUUCACAUCAGCCUGAGGGAC